AUUGGGAAAUGGCUACAAGUUCUUGAAUGCACAAUGAGAAACCAGCUGACAGUUUUUGCCUGAUCAAUCUGCUUUAUGCACGUCAGUCUGAUCCCUAC